GAAACGCGUUGUCUAAUCUGAAUGAUCUGGCUGUUUUCCGCUUGCGUCUUUCCAGAGAUCUCCUAUCACUUUUGUAGUAUGCAAUGUACUUGUAUAAAUACGUUUUCUUUUUCUAUGGGCGAUGGGUGCUGGACUGGAGCCUGCAUGCGGAAGCGUUCCAAGCGGGCGACCUCAAUGAAUAUUCUAUCUCGCCGAGGGCUCCAGCUCCACUAACUACUGAUGGCAUCAACCUGAUUCAAUGUUCAUUGCGGCAAAUGUAUUUCGCCAACGGCAUCGUCAAGCACAGCUACUUCUGUUGACGACUACAAACGACUCGUACAUUGUGCGUCAGUGUAGCUGCGAGUACUGUCUCUGAUAGGGGCUACAAAGCUCAUCGCAAUGAUUUCCUUUAUUGGUUGAUGAAUCCCCAAAGGCUUUUCACCUAUUGAGGGGUUCAAAAAAAAUCACGGUUCGCGUGAGACUCGGCCAAAGGCCCAGUUUUCCGCAUCCGCAGGAACGCCACCACCCUCUUGGAUCACGGCGCAGAUGCAGCUCCUAAGCGGUGGGAGGUCGGAAACUGUAGACACUGCCAGGGUCUAAACCUCUAACUCCAGUACAGUAUUCAUAGCAGUAGACUAGCAGCAGAGCUCAUGAAGCCGGAUCAAAAGGUUGCCUACAGCAGUGCUGAACACACAUGCUCUUCUGGACAGCACACCACACUGACACCAUUGAAAAAGGGCUAGAAAUUCAACGGUAACUGUGCGUGUUAUCUGUUCAUUGUUUUUGGUGUAUCUAGCGAAAACUUCCAUGGUAUCGACUAUCUGAAGCAUCGUGUGGUGGUCACUUUCGUGCGUGCAAUCUGUGUUCUUUAAUAUACAGUGUUCAUGAGGCAUUCCUUCCCUUCGUUCUAACCAAGUAAAGGGGGAGAGAAGCCUCUAGCUAAGGACACAGAAUCUUUGCCUAGUUGUUAGGUAAAGGGAGAGAGAAGCCUCUAGCUAAGGAUACAGAAUCUGUGCCGGUCGGUGCCAGAGAGCCUCCUUCAUGGCAUCACCUGACUUUUAACUAAUGAAUGACAGGUCUUGUUUGAACGAUCAUACUUCACUCAACGACUGCCCGGCUAUUAUCUAGUAUGCAUUAUCCCCGCCGGGAUGUAGAAUGUACCGGGCUGGAUUAGGCCGUGCGGAACGAGCGGGGCUAGCCCACGAGGGCGACAAGCCCGCUGCUCCUCUCCUCGAAAACGGCAAAUAGAAGGCGCAUUUUCGUGCAGCACUUUCACAACGUACAUUGUACAUGUACAUGCAAUCAAUGGUAUGCGAACGAUCAGUUCCACCAUUGCCAUUGGUAAGUCAACGAUACUUCACUUGGCCUGCUAUUCAUGUGUGUGCCUGCAACCAACAGCAAUACAAUACGUGUACAAGAAACGAUGUACAUGUACACUAUGUACUAUUUCUGAGUUCCAUCCCAAAAUAAGGUCUGGCCUGACCGAAAUGAUACCUGUGCACGUACUAGGCAUAGUUGAGCUUGGCAUGAGUGGUUAAACAGCGGGUUGAAAGUCGUCAAUACCAGCUCUUGCAAUAGCAUUGCACACUUCAACUACUUUAAUACUUGAUUUAUAUCCACAUGUACAGUGCUGCCAACUGAACCCGCCCUCUGAGCGGUGGGUUCACAUUCUAUCGGUCUCUGUUUCGUAGUUUUACCGUCCCCGUGUUGGGUCUUUGCGAUGUGAGCGCACGGCUCAGGGGUCGGAUUUCAGUUGCCAGCACUGUACAUUGUACAUUUUGUGCCCGUGCACUACCUUGCACAUACAGUACCUACCUGUACAUGAUUGAGCCAUGUGAUCUGCUUGACAUUGGAAUUACGAGCACAGCUUUGCAUCCAUUAUUUUCAGUUAUGUUGACAGUGGCGGAGCGAGAACAAUGUUGCUGCCCGAAAUUGGCCGGUUGCCAGCGACGUGAUUGAGGUCUGUCCUCCAACAUUAUGGCAAACUAGCUUUGCCCUGCAGGCCUGUUCAGUGACAGUGAGUGCCAAUCCAGUGGACGCACCAUUGCUCUAUUAGAAUUACGCAGCGCAUGUGGCACAUGUGCUGUCUUCUACAGAUGCGGUCUGAGCUAGUCUAAGGACGCGUCCUUCUUCUUACCAAGCGAGGACCCACUCACAACCGUUGGCAGCGAUCCAACAGCAUUUUGUAAAGGCUUGGGCCGUGUCAGAUCAGACAGGGUUGGUAACAUGCAAUAAUUUACUCAUCCGCACCGUCCGCCUAUCUGCAUUCAUCGCUGACACUGAAAGCAAAUUGGAGCAUGUACAUGUACUAAAACUCCUUAUCUGCAUAACCGUAACCACCCUCAACUGACUAACUAACUACUUUCACGCGAACCAUAACAUUUCUCUUUUAAAUUUCGUGAUCACUAUGCUUCCUACAAUGCCUCUCCUCUGUCAAAAUGAAUUCAUCAUUUUGCCUAAAGUAAAAACUCUACAAGUAUUCGAGUCUAAUCCCGUUCUAGUCCACUGAUCGCAUGCAUAUCACAACUGCA